CCUACGGGAGGCUGCAGUGGGGAAUAUUGGACAAUGGGCGAAAGCCUGAUCCAGCCAUGCCGCGUGUGUGAAGAAGGCCUUCGGGUUGUAAAGCACUUUCAGUGGGGAAGAAAGCCUUGGGGCUAAUACCCUCGAGAAAGGACAUCACCCACAGAAGAAGCACCGGCUAACUCCGUGCCAGCAGCCGCGGUAAUACGGAGGGUGCGAGCGUUAAUCGGAAUUACUGGGCGUAAAGCGCGCGUAGGCGGUCUGAUAAGCCGGUUGUGAAAGCCCCGGGCUCAACCUGGGAACGGCAUCCGGAACUGUCAGGCUAGAGUGCAGGAGAGGAAGGUAGAAUUCCCGGUGUAGCGGUGAAAUGCGUAGAGAUCGGGAGGAAUACCAGUGGCGAAGGCGGCCUUCUGGACUGACACUGACGCUGAGGUGCGAAAGCGUGGGUAGCAAACAGGAUUAGAUACCCGAGUAGUC
rnacentral:rRNA from 1 species